rnacentral:rRNA from 1 species
UACGAAGGGGGCUAGCGUUGCUCGGAAUUACUGGGCGUAAAGCGCACGUAGGCGGCUUUCUAAGUCGGGGGUGAAAUCCUGGAGCUCAACUCCAGAGCUGCCUUCGAUACUGGAGAGCUCGAGUCCGGGAGAGGUGAGUGGAACUGCGAGUGUAGAGGUGAAAUUCGUAGAUAUUCGCAAGAACACCAGUGGCGAAGGCGGCUCACUGGCCCGGUACUGACGCUGAGGUGCGAAAGCGUGGGGAGCAAACAGG